GAGACAGCAGCAGCCGCGGUAAUACGUAGGUGGCAAGCGUUAUCCGGAAUUAUUGGGCGUAAAGCGCGCGUAGGCGGUUUUUUAAGUCUGAUGUGAAAGCCCACGGCUCAACCGUGGAGGGUCAUUGGAAACUGUUAAACUUGAGUGCAGGAGAGAAAAGUGGAAUUCCUAGUGUAGCGGUGAAAUGCGUAGAGAUUAGGAGGAACACCAGUGGCGAAGGCGGCUUUUUGGCCUGUAACUGACACUGAGGCGCGAAAGCGUGGGGAGCAAACAGGAUUAGAUACCCGCGUAGUCCCUGUCUCUUAUAC
rnacentral:rRNA from 1 species